UUUCCUACGGGAGGCAGCAGUGGGGAAUAUUGCACAAUGGGGGAAACCCUGAUGCAGCGACGCCGCGUGAGUGAAGAAGUAUUUCGGUACGUAAAGCUCUAUCAGCAGGGAAGAAAAAAAGUCCUUUGGACUUUGGACGGUACCUGACCAAGAAGCCCCGGCUAACUACGUGCCAGCAGCCGCGGUAAUACGGAGGGGGCAAGCGUUAUCCGGAUUUACUGGGUGUAAAGGGAGCGGAGACGGCAGCGCAAGUCUGGAGGGAAAUGCCGGGGCCAAACCCCGGAACGCCUUUGGAAA
rnacentral:rRNA from 1 species